rnacentral:lncRNA from 1 species
AAGUUAACAAAUUAGUGGGCGGCAGAAGUGUUUUGUCAACUUAAGGUAUACGAGUGAUACACUUGAAAAGUAUUCACACACGUUUGAUAUAUGUGUCAUUUAAGGGUAUAUGGCUGAUAAUUUCUCAAAAAAAUAAAAAAAAGACAGUUGGACCCUUACAAAAAUUAAAGGACACCACACCAAAAUAGUAAUUCUCCAGCCAGCUUCUGCUGAGGUAUUCAAGAUCAUCGCAUGAAUGCGACACAUGUAAAAGAGAAUAAACUAAGUAAAUAACGCCCUACUUGCUCUCCACUCAUGCUCUCAAUGCUCCAAAUGAAUAACAAGCCAAAUGAAUGACAUAUUCUUUAGGGUUGACCAGUAAAAAAUUCUCCAGGUGGCAGGCGACCAGGACACUCUAUAUAAAGGCACUCAAGUUCUAUUUUUCUCUCAUAAAUACUCGCAAUAAUACACACACAAAAAAGGUGCUGAAGCUUUCUUUAAUCUUCAGCCACCAUUGUUAAGGGCUGGCAAGCUCUUAACACUUAGAAUAUUGCCCAUAAACUGAUUUGAGUGUCAGAGUGUGGUCACCGCCCGCCAUUGGCUCCACAUCUAACCUCUCUUCUCAAUUUUACAAGUUAAAUAUGGCCUAUCAAGCCAACCCUCACUCUAGAUCCAGGUUUCCCAAAACUGACUAACUUCAUCCAACACCGUCUCAGAUAACGCACCUUGGGCUUUGUGAGGCACCCAUGUUACUCUCAAUACAAAUUUUAUUGUGUUUACAUGAGUUUUAGUUCCUUUUUUCUUCAUACCAAAAUCUAUUUAAUAAUAAAUUAUCUUUGAUUAUAAAAUGUGGGUAUUUUAAGAAUAUAAUUUUCUAUUAAAAAAUGAGUUUAACGAAUAUUUUCGCAUGUUUAAAUUGCGCAAUUAUUAGCAUAGCGCUCAUUUUCCUAACAAAUGCCUGCAAUAAUGACUAUACCGAACUUUGUGGGCUUACCCCACGUUGAGGUUUGGUACCCAACCACGUUUGAUGGGCUUCGCACUACUUUUCCGAAAGGCUUCUAACCAUCCAUAUUAUAGGUGAUUUAGUAAUUGGCAUUCACGUUGAGUAUCACUGCUUGAUUUGUACUGUUUUAAUCCAAAUAGUACAUCAGAUACUUUGAGAUUUUUCAACUUGUUUAAAAGCAAGGAUUAAGGGGGGGAAAAAACAAAAAAAGAAAAGAAAAAGUACUCUUUCCUUGCAGUUUCCCAGUUAACAUCCUUAAUAGAGUGAUAACAUUUAAAGAAAUAAUUAUGCGAAUUCCAAAUAAUUGAAGGGAGUGAUGUUAGGGAUGGGUUUACUUUAGGAAACUGCUAUGGAAAGGAAAUAAAAAAUAAGUGGUGACAUUUGAUCUAUUUCAUUUCUCUCACUAGUCUCAGUAAUCAUUUUGAUAGGUCUAUUUGAACCUACAAAAUUAUUCACUAAAUUUAUUUACUAAAUUAAACCCACACUUAA